AUCCAGGUCUCAGACGAAAAGUAACAAGUGACCUCAAAAGCCUCCUUCCCUCAAGGAAGACCGUGACCUGUGUGUUUCCGCCCCUUUAACACUCGCAGAGACUAACACAGUAGACGUCGAAAGUAAGCCCAGGCUGCUUGGAGGGGCGCGGGCAAGACCAUCGCUAUCUCAGCACCGAGCGCAGCGGGACCGCAAACACCCGGCCUCCCUCGAAGCGGACGCUCUCCAGCUUCCGCCACUUUAUCUUUUUUCCCAGCACGAAUUUACCUCCGCCACUUUGUGUGUCCCUUCUCCCCACGACCCCGGGCCUCCUGCAGCCCAGGUCUGGGACCUCAGGGUUCGCGGACGCCUCUCCCCGUCCCGCGUCCAGCCCCGCAGAGAGGAGCGGAGCGUGGAUGAAAACAAGGUAAUUUCCCGGUGCCUUCGGGCACGGUCGAUGCAAAAGGGGCCCUGGCCGCGUCCCUGUAACCGAGGUCACCCCCACCCCGCCAGGGCUGGUCCUCCCAGCCCCCCUUCACUGCCUCGGGCAUCGCGUCCUCCUUUGCCCCUGGCAUCUCCAUCCCGCAGUGCCUCCCACCCGCACGCCGGUCGGAGCCCUGGGCCCGGCCGCCGCCCCCAACGCGCCCCGGCAGACUCACCUUGCAGCCCCGCAGCCUUUCAAGCUCUCCUGCCUUCGCUGAGUGGGCUACGACAUAUCCCCAGCGGAGGCCUUCCCCGCGAGCCCAGGAGGGGCGGAGCGGAGCAGAGCAGGGCGGAGCUUGCGGCCCUAACGGGCUCGCGCCCAAAACAGGGCUCCGCCGCGCUCCCAGCGGGCGAGCAGCGGGCCAGGCUGCCAAGAGCAAAGGUGGAAGAAGUUAACUACAUGAUGACCAGACUGUAGCCAUGACAUAAGCUGCCACAAUUCCAAGAACUGGCCUCAAAGAAAUGGAAACCCUGGAACUAAAGAUUAAAUGUUCUUAAAACAACCAAGAUGAUGCUGAUCAGACCACCGCAUUACUGGUUUCACGAUGACUGUCCGAACUGACUGUGCUGUUCUGCUCCUGCCUGUGCAACCCUGAAACUCCCCUUUAAAAGCCCCUGUCCCGAGAGCAGUCGGGAGUUGGUUCUUGGACAGGAGUCCACCCUCUCCCCCAGUUGCCAGCCUCCAAAAUAAAGCAAGCUUUCCUUUCCUACCAACACUCAUCUCUCGAGAAUUGGCUUUCCAGAGGCAAGCAGCUGGACCUGGGUUCGGUGACACAGAGAGGAUGAAGAAAGCCAGGACUGUGCCCCAGCCUCUAGGAUCCUGUCAGAUGACUAGCUAAUAUAACUAAUACCAGUAGCUAGCUUUUAAACUCUAUGUUGUAGGUAACAACUGUAAGCAUUUGACAAGUAUAAUCCCAUUUAAUUCUCACAGCAACCUGGUGAAGUAGGUUAUCCCUAUUUGCAGAGGUAGAAUGACUCACAUACUACCAGCAAGUGAUGGAGCCAAUAUAAACACAAGGUCCUGGAAACGCUUCAGAGAAAGUGACUUUUGGAUCCCACAGAAGGAGGGUGGCUGCUUGCCAGGAGAGCCAACCAUGUGAUUAGAGGGUGGGACCUUUCAGUCCCAACGCCCAACCUCUGGGGAGGGCAGAGUGGCUGGAGGUUGAAUCCGUUGCCAAUGGCCAGUGACUGAGUCAUGCCUUUGUAAUGAAGCCUCACUAAAAAUCCAAAGGACAAGGUUCAGAGAGCUUCCAGGUUGGGGAACAUGUGAGGAUUGGGGAGAGUGAUGCACCUGGAGAGGGAAUGGAAGGUCUGCCCCCUCUCCCCAGGCCAUGCCCUAUGUAUCUCUAUCAUUCAUCUUGGCUGUGGUUUUAUAUCCUUUUAUAAUAAACUGGUAAUCUAGUAAAUAAAUGGGUUUUCCUGAGUUCUGUGAGCCGUGCUAGCAAGUUAACUGAAGCCAAGGAGGAAGUCAUGGGAACGUCUGGCCUAUAAGAAUUGCUUGUUGGUGUGUGGAGGCCUCUACACACACACUGGAAUUGGGUCCAGGAACGCUUUUCCCCAGUGUACUUCAGCCCGCAGAAUUGUUUCCUGCGUACUAAUCAUUUUGUCACACAGAAUGUGAAAAAUGUGUGAACUCAAGGGUUACGAGUUAAUAAAAUUAAUAAUUUUUACUCUUCAUGAAGUAUAUUUUUAAGUGAAACUGGCACUGUUUUUAUUACAAAUUCAUGGCAGUGGACAAUACGGUAACUGG